CACUUGAAGUGUUUAGGAAUCAAAUUUCAAAUUUUUUCGACAUCAUUUGCCUAAUGAUCAAAGGGUUUCAAAAUUUAUAAUUUUAAUGGUCGAUAUAAGUGUAAGGACUGAGACUUUUUACAGUGCAACUAAACUCUCUGUUGAUGAUGUUUAUGUGUGUAGUUUAAUUACAUAAGCACUCGUCAAGUUUCAGGAGAAAAUGAACUAAAACAGAGAAGUUACGCGAUUAUUAGUUUUCACUUAAGUGAAUAGUAACUCCAGUUUUUCGGUGAAGCCACGGAGUAGAGUUGACUUUCUACGUGUAUCGGACUCCAUUCAUAGCGAUCCAAU
rnacentral:lncRNA from 1 species